rnacentral:lncRNA from 1 species
UUGUCGUGCCAGUGGAAAGUGGGACAACUCCAUGGCAGUUGGGCCACAAAACAACAACAGCUACGGCCCAUGGAGUAGCAAGUCCACAGGGUAGCCAGCUCAAGACCCACAGGCCCAUGAUACAGCGCAAGCCCAAGUCGCACUGAAAAGAGGAAAAGCCCAUCGCCCGCCCCUUGCGGCCCAGCCUGCACCCGCGAUCUAGCCCAUGCCUGCAAUCCGAACUGCACCCGAUGUCUAAGCCAUUUUCGUGGCUCACUUAGCUGUCCAAACCUGUUCAACCGUCCCGACUUCAGAUUUUCGAACCAACAAUUGAACCGAGGGUAUUUUCACCCUCUUUUCUGGAGAUUUGACAUAUCCCAACUCAAAUCUUGCGCCUGGAGUCCAUUGCACUUUCAUUACUCCAAGAGAAGCAUACCGUCCAAGCUCUUCCAUCCCAAAUGGUGAACAACACUUGUCUCGACAAUUCAUAGAGUUAACAAGUGCCCUUGUGCAACAAACGACCUUGGUGAAUCAGCUUUUGCAACGCAUCAAGAUGCAGCUACCCUAGACGACGUAUCCCGAAGUAGGACAAAGGCAGACGAUGAACCUUUCUAGUAGCGUCCCUGUAAACAACCAUUCGACCAGCCACGAACUAAGCGUUCUGACAGUGUACACUCCCAUAUAGACCUCCGAGAUAACGUAUACUCUCGUCUUAGCGUGCGGAGGAGCGUGCACUCCCGGUUAGGCCCACGAACAAGCAUAUAUUCAAAGUUGGGGCCACACUUUGAUAAUCAACAUGGACAACCUUCGAGGCGAAGUGUUCAAUCGCGGCUAGGCCCGCUAGGAGCAUCAUCCACCUCACAUUGGAAUAGGUAGCACGACGGAUGGAGAUAAUGAGUCACUUAAUCCGGCUCAAGUUCAACCGACAGUUUGCGAGUGACCCACUCGCCUGCCAGGAAUGUACCACAUGCACUGCAACUGCGGCAUAGACUAGCCAAGAACAGGGAAGAGCAACCUAGACCAACAAGUCACGACCGAGGGCAACCGGAAGCUCUGCUACCCUAGAGAGGUGAAUUCAGGAAGAAGUUGAGAGGCUCCUGACAGCACGAUUGCGUGGUUUCCAACGCAACAAAGCUACUUACAAAGCACUCGGACGAGACAUGACCAACAUAAACAUGUCACCUUUCAUUGAUAAGAUCAAGUAGAUGGAACCAUCCCACAUACACUGGAAGAUACAAUGAUUACCUUUGAUCCGACAAACAUAGCAACUCAGCUAAUCACACGUUGAUAGGAUUAAAAGCACACCACAAAGUAGCACACAAAUGUCCUAUUGGUUUUCCUUAUCAACACUAAGAUUUGUCAAUUGUAGCAUAUGAAAAUAAGGGUCUUUCCCGCAGAAGAUUGUUUUAUCUAACUACUUAAAAUGUCACAAAAACUAGUUGUUGUCCCUACUGACCAGCCAACGAAAAAUAAUUAUUAGGUUGACUUUCACUUAUCUAAAUUCUACGAAAUUUUAUAUGAAGACACUAGACACAGAGCUACACUUCUACCAAUUUUUGGGAUUUUUGGAGUUGAUUUUCGAUUUAAAUUAAAUUGAACAAAAACAGGACAUAAACAAAUUUUAAGUAGUUCACAAAUUAAUAAAAACGAGUUAGGGGAAUUGCUAUCCACCACCAAAUAAUCAUGCAAACAUGUUAUGUUUCAUUCAAAUUCCCUUUAUUUCCGGAUGAAGAUGCUCAAGUUGACUCAAUGUUAGAACUUAACCUAUUACUCUUUCUUAUGUAGUAUGUUAAGAGAAUGGCGUUUUCAACUUAACUUAGUCCCUAGCAUGCAAUCUAGAAUGGCGUGUUCAUAGAUUUAACAAGUAGAAAUCAUUAAGAACGAAAAGAGUUUCAGUCAUCACAAGGCAUCGUAAGUAUUGGCAUUGUCUUACUUAUCCUAGAAAUUGGUUCACAUGUUAAUCGCAAUUAACAAAUACUACUCUAGAACAUAUGUAGGUCCUCAUUCGACAAGGACAGACACACACAUAUUCAUAGCGUUAGAAUCCUAUAUAUGCUUACUAAGUAUGCAUCCGUAGAAAACACGUAAAGAAUUCAUCAAUGAGACAAGUAGUGAAUCAAUUUUCAUUCAUUCAUAAAAGUAAUUCAAACAAAAUGUCAUAACAAACUUGCAAUCCUAUUCGGCACUUCAAAACAGCCCCUAACUACUAAAAAUUUAGUUACACAUUAUUAUCAAAUAAAACCGAAAGAAAGACAUGAGUUUGAGAAGACAAAACCGAGAGAAGAGAAUGCCAAGAUUUCCUCCUUCCUUUCCUUCCUUUCCGCAAAGCUGCCUUGUCCUCUUUCUUUUCUAUUUUUUUUUCCUUUCUCUUCUUUUUCCAACCUUGCAACCUGCACCCUUUCCCCUUUUUAACUUGCUGCCCCAUUUUCUUCUCCUUAACUCACCCACUAACAGCCAUUUAGUGAUGGCAAUAAGUGAGAUAAAAUGGUAUAACAAUUGUAACUCUUUGGGUAGCCUUUAUGCCAAUUACUCCCACUUAAUCCUCAUCUUUAUUUUCAUUUCCUCUGAUAUUUGAAUAGGUAUCAGCUGGCUUGUUCUUGGCUGCAUUAGUUUUGGCCGCUAGAUUUAUUGGGUUUAUUGCUUUCAUUGCAGUUACAAACUGCCCAGUCUCUUGUGAACCUUUCAGUGUUAAAACGGCCAUAACUUCUUCUAAAAAACUGAUAUUAACAAUCCGCGAAAUGCUCCAGAAAAUAGACAUCCGUAGCUUUCCAAGCAUAUAAGGCUCAUUCUCUAAUUCAUUUUGAGAUGUUCACAACUUGCUUCCAAAUUCAGCUGACCUGCACAGGCAGUUUUGACGAAUUUGUUACUUAAAAUCCAACUUGUGCUAUUUUUCUUUUCUUUGCUUGACAAAUCCUAGAAAACAUAAAAACAAAGUAAAUAGCUCAAAAAUAUGAGGAACUAACUAAGAAAAAACAAGUGAAUUUGAUGUAAAGUAUAUAUAAAUAUAAGCUUAUCACACGUUAGGGGCAGACAGGAACCAGAAGAACAUAUCAGCCCAACCACUAAGAACCAGGGGCAUGUCUUGUUUUCAUCACAACUCCGCGCUCAAAGUCCUGCCUACCUAUCCACUAUUCCAAACCACCCUUGAUCUGUCACCAUGGCUCCUAGUCGUGCCGAUCUUGCACCACAACUCCUAGUCGUGCCACCUUACAGUUCCUAUCUACGCCGACCAAGCCCACAACACUUCAAACUUCAAAGCAUCCAACGACGGAGCAAACUAUGAGGCCUUACUAGUAGCCUCUGCUAGCGAAAGACUUAGUGGUGGAGAAGCUUGCAAUCCAUUCAGAUUCUCAGCUGACCACCAACCAAGCCUCAGAAGAACACACGAUGAAACAUCUAAGGAUGGUGCAAUACUUAGAAAAGGUCCAGGAACAACUUACUAUGCUUCCCACUUACACCCUUACGCGGUUCCACAAGCAGUUUGAAGUCUCAAGCAGAUCGUCAAACAAGACCUCACAAGCUGAGGAUUAUUUCAAUUGUCCAGUUUUCCUCAGUUGCACUCACGACAACGACUUCUAUUCUGUCCAAUGCGAUAGGGUAAUCCAAUUCCCCGACACCCAUAUGGGUCAACUAUUCAGUGAGAGAGGGUAAACCAACUCCUCGACAUCCAUAUGGGUUUGCUCUCUAGUGCGAGAAGGUAAACUAAUUGCUUUUCAGUGCAAUAGGGUAAAAAAAUUUCCCGACACUCAUAUGGGUCUACUCUCCAAUGCGAAAAGGUAAACUAAUUCCAUGACACCCAUAUGGGUCUACUCUUCAGUGCGGAUAAACUAAUUCCCCAACACCUAUCUGGGUAAGCUCUCAAACUCGAGAAGAUAAACCAAUUCCCCGACACCCAUCUACGUAAGCUCUCCAGUGUGAGAGGGAAAAGCAAUUCCCCACACCCAUCUGGGCCAUACAGCUCAAAGGAUAUAAUACUCGAAUACCAGCUAAGUAGCAAAUGGUCAGAGGGCAACAAUCGAUGACGAACUCAACAACUCGACACCCCAAAAAGCCAAAACUCACAACCAUAAUGACUUCGUUGGAUCGUCAGCCUUUUUUUGAAGCAGCAUGCAUAACCGACAUAUUUAUGGCUAAAAGUUUUGUAAGACGCUUCAAGCAAGCAAAGUUUCAAGAAAAAGAAAGAUGGAGUAAAGCGCAAGCAGUUUAUUAAAUUUCUAGCAAAUUGAUAAACUUAUACGAAGGUUGUCGAAAUCCAACACAAGCUAAACAUAGCAGACUACUCAUUUAGCAGUUUGGAUGACCUUGGGCUCUCCAGCUGCCAUCUUGCCUUCAGCAACCACUUCGCACUCAGCAGUUUGCUCACCUAACAUUUAAUCUUCAACAGCUCCGAUCUUGGCAGCACUAUUUUCGAUUACUCCAUCUACGGCAGCUACGAAAUCAGACUCAAGCAGUUUCUUCCUUCUUGACAAGUAGCAUAACCGUGGCCUCUGCCAUGCCAUUUUCUCAGCCCAUGUUGAGCCAACCCUUGGCUCCAGCCAAAUCAAACAGCCCAAGUCGUGGCCAUUGCCAAACCACCUCCUCGGCCCAUGCCAAGCCAAUUUCUAGCCUCUGCUAACUGACGUGCCGCACCACCCUGAUAGCUGCCCCGCACAACACCACCCAAGAAAAAGACAAAGAAAAUUAGGUUUUUCUUACAUUGGUGCAGUGUGGAGAACACAAAGAAUCAACGGAAAAUUUUUUUUGUACGAGCAAGCAAAGAAGAAUGUUAGGGGAGGGGGAACAAAUAUCCUCUAGCUUUCUCUCUUUCUUGUAGGGAUAAAUAGUUUCCCUCCAAAGUUGAUUUAACCCCUACUUAAGGUAGGCUUAAAUAGGCUUUGGAGGCAAUUUAUAUCCCUUUCCUAGAAGAAUCUAAUUCCAAGUCCAAGUGGGAAUCUGCAUCAAAGUUGGAGAUCUCUACACCUACUGCCUAUUCUUGCGAGCAGCCCAGCAAGUGUGGGGGCAUUUAUGGAGCCAAAAAUAAUUAAGAAAAUUAUGGAGGUGACACAUGGACUUUUGGGUUAAAAGCAAAACUACCCUCAAGGCACACCGGGAUUCCCAAGCGCAUACAACGGACAAUAACAGCUCAAUCAAAGAAAAGUCAAAGGUGAUCAAAAUGGUAUUUAUUCAAAUCCCUCUUAUCACUCCUCAUCAAAUCUUUAUUCAAAAGGUAACUCCCAAAACUUCUUAUUUAAUUUGGGAUUAAUUACCAUGUUAAUUGCAAGAUAUUAUUUCACAUAAUAUCUUGCAAUUAUUCUCUAAAUACACCAUAUAUGGCCGGCUACUCCCCUAUAAAUAUCCCUAUUAUGCCACCAAAAACCUAAGUCAUCUAUUACCCACAAACUCCUAAACACAUUCUUUUCAGAAUUCUAACUUUGGCAUCGAAGAUUCUUCAGUCAAAGUUCCCCCCCCCCAAAUUCAUCAUGGGCGCGUGAGGCUUUUGGCCUUAAUCGAAGGUGUUAUUAUUUUGCAGGUGCAUUUUUGUCAAAGGAAGAGAUGGUGGAUAUUUGCAUCCACAACAAACAUCUGUGUGAACCAAUUCUAGAGGUUUAGUUGCCUUCCAAGCUUGAUUCCUUAGAAAACUCUCUCAGUGACAUUUCCCCAAGGUACGACCUUCACACACUUCAUCAUUUUCCUGCAGUUUUGGUAAUUCCAACACCAAAUCUUCCUCCUGCAUCAGUUUUGGUAAUUCCUUCACACACUUCACACACUUCAUCAUUGUCCUACACUAAGUAGGUUCUCAUCAAACCCAGACACAAGCAUCAGAUUUUUUAUUUAUCUCUUCCCUUGUUUUAUGUUAAUAACCAAAGUUCCUUUUCCUACAACUUGGACCAAUUCACCAAUGCCCAUUUUGACUUUUGUAAAUACACCCUUUACUUUAUCCACAAGCCAAUCUUCAUGAGCAUUCAUGUGGUUGCUACAACCAUUGUUCACAUACCACACAUUUGACAUUUUAGACGCAACAGCUAAAUGGUAAGCAAAGAAUAAGGUUCCUUCUUCUUCUGGUAGCUUGGCAAAGUUCACUAUUUUAGUUCUUGAAGGAUUUAUUUUGUAAAACAUGUUCAUUUGAGCAACAUCAUAUAGCAUGCAAUUAACAAUUAAAGGCGG